rnacentral:lncRNA from 11 species
UUCUGGACGAAGCGCAUGUGUCUGUGUUUAGUGUUGUUUUUUUGAAGGGAAAGCAAUUGGGGACCAGACCGCAAGCUGUUUUUAUUGCUUCCUCCUUCUCUCCUUCCCACUUUCUCCCGCCUUUUCCCCCUCCAUUGUGCAAAGCCAAGCCUGGAACAAUGCAGAUUUGGGGGGAGUUGGAAGGGGGGAGCUUUUGGGUGGCUUCUGCAAAGGCUCCGAAUGGGAAUCACGCCGCCUUCUCCUCCGCUUGGCCCCUCUGGGGAGACUGGCUGGGAAUCUUUAUUAGGCCAGGCUUUAAAAAUGCAAAACAUCUCAGACAGGGUCUGUGGGCCUUUCCAUCUCCUCCCUUUGAAGCAAAAUACGGAGAGCAGCCAGAUUUCGGAGAGAGGGAAAGAGAGGGAUGCUUCCAUCCAUUGCCAAACCAAAGGGAUAGUGCCUUUCCUCCUUACUUCUUUCUGAACCCGAUCCUCCAUUCAAAAAUAAUAGUAUAGUAAAGUCUCACUUAUCCAACAUAAACGGGCCCGCAGAACGUUGGAUAAGCGAAUAUGUUGGAUAAUAAGGAGAUAUUAAGAAAAAGCCUAUUAAACAUCGAAAUAGGUUAUGAUUUUACAAAUUAAGCACCAAAACAUCAUGAUAUGCAACAAAUUUGACAGAAAAGUAGUUCAUUACACAUUAAUGCUAUGUAGUAAUUACUGUAUUUAUGAAUUUAGCACCAAAAUAUCACGAUGCAUUGAAAACAUUGACUACAAAAAUGCGUUGGAUAAUCCAGAACGUUGGAUAAGUGAGUGUUAGAAUUGAAGACCCUUCUGCCACUAAUCACUGAGGAAAGAUGCUGGAGGCCAGCGGCUCCCAAGACAGGGAGCCGAAGCCGCUGCUGCAAAGCCUUCAGUCUGUCUGGGAAACGCGAAACAUGAAUAAGCUGAAGCAGGAGAUGGAGGUGGGCUUCUCGGCCCUGGACGACCCCUGGACCUGGCUGCUGGAGGCGCUGGAGGUCUGCGGCGGAUGGAGGGGCAAGGGUCCCAGCCUGGGCGCCCUCCUGGUCAAAGGGCUGCAGCAGUGGUGCACGAAGCACCCGGAAGGACAGCCGUCCGGCUUGAAGCUGAGGAAGCUGCAGGCCCGCCUCUUCCCGCUCCUGGCCGAGUGCCAUGCAAAUCUUUUGGACCCCUUGAUCGGCAUCUAUCAUCUCCACGCUGCCGACCGGGACUUCUUGCUGGGCCACGUCAACCAUCUUUACCACAAGGGCAAGUUCAAGGAGGUGGGUCCGCCCCAUCCAUCCCUAUGCCUUGACAGGUGGAGGUCAUCUGCCCCUCUGGCCACUUGGGGGCAGCCUUGCCAUCUGGUCAUGGAGAGACUGAGUCAUAGGAUAGAUAUGAUACAUA